rnacentral:rRNA from 1 species
UGGGGAAUAUUGGACAAUGGGCGCAAGCCUGAUCCAGCAACGCCGCGUGGAGGACGAAGGUCUUCGGAUCGUAAACUCCUGUCAGGCGGGACGAAGGCUUCCGGGCAAAUAGUUCGGAAGCUUGACGGUACUGCCAGAGGAAGCCCCGGCUAACUCCGUGCCAGCAGCCGCGGUAAUACGGAGGGGGCUAGCGUUAUUCGGAAUUAUUGGGCGUAAAGGGCGCGUAGGCGGCCCGGUAAGUCAAAGGUGAAAUCCCUCGGCUCAACUGAGGAACUGCCUUUGAAACUGUCGGGCUUGAGGCCGGGAGGGGGUAGCGGAAUUCCCAGUGUAGCGGUGAAAUGCGUAGAUAUUGGGAGGAACACCGGUGGCGAAGGCGGCUACCUGGACCGGUUCUGACGCUGAUGCGCGAAAGCGUGGGUAGCAAACAGGAUUAGAUACCCUGGUAGUCCACGCUGUAAACGAUGAGUGCUCGGUGUCGCGGGUAUCGACCCCUGCGGUGCCUUAGCU